UACUUAUCAUAGUAUCUAUGAAA
rnacentral:miRNA from 1 species